rnacentral:rRNA from 1 species
GACGAGGGGUCCAAGCGUUGUUCGGAAUCAUUGGGCGUAAAGCGGGUGUAGGCGGCUCUAUAAGUCAGAAGUGAAAGCCCCGAGCUUAACUUGGGAAGUGCUUUUGAUACUGCAGAGCUUGAAUGUGGGAGAGGGAUGCGGAAUUCCAGGUGUAGCGGUGAAAUGCGUAGAUAUCUGGAGGAACACCGGUGGCGAAGGCGGCAUCCUGGACCAACACUGACACUGAGGAGCGAAAGCCAGGGGAGCAAACGGG